UAGUGUGAAUUGCAGAAUUCCGCGAAUCAUCGAGUCUUUGAACGCAAGUUGCGCCCGAGGCUUGUCCAAGGGCAUUUCCGCUAGAGCGUCACC
rnacentral:rRNA from 1 species